rnacentral:rRNA from 1 species
AGCGAACGCUGGCGGCAGGCCUAACACAUGCAAGUCGAACGAACCCUUCGGGGUUAGUGGCGGACGGGUGAGUAACACGUGGGAACGUGCCUUUAGGUUCGGAAUAACUCAGGGAAACUUGUGCUAAUACCGAAUGUGCCCUUCGGGGGAAAGAUUUAUCGCCUUUAGAGCGGCCCGCGUCUGAUGAGCUAGUUGGUGAGGUAAUGGCUCACCAAGGCUACGAUCAGUAGCUGGUCUGAGAGGAUGACCAGCCACAUUGGGACUGAGACACGGCCCAAACUCCUAAGGGAGGCAGCAGUGGGGAAUCUUGCGCAAUGGGCGAAAGCCUGACGCAGCCAUGCCGCGUGGAUGAUGAAGGUCUUAGGACUGUAAAAUCCUUUCACCGGUGAAGAUAAUGACUGUAGCCGGAGAAGAAGCCCCGACUAACUUCGUGCCAGCCGCCGCCGUAAAAC